GUCAGAAGUCAGACAGCUUGUCAGUCUCCAGCAUAAAAGAAUGCUGUUCAUGAACAGAUGUCAUUCUGAGUUGAUAAUCCAGACAUACUGAUGGAAGGAGACCAUGCUGUUGGUGAACACAUGGAACAUAUGGGUGAAGAAUGGUAAGACUAGUCCAAGAUUGCCACCAGAGGUCUUUGGAGCAAUUUUGCUAGACUCAAGAGGCUCGUACUUUUCAGAGAAGUUCCCAAGAAGCAUCUGUACUCUUGUGUGAACAAAUGAACCCCCUGAACUUUUGGAGAUUAACCAGUCUCUAAUAAAAAAUGUCCUUAUAUAGUUUUUAAUCUACUCUGGCAGAAACGUGGCAUGAAGAUGUUAAGUUCUUAAUAUCUCUUGGAAAAGCAUCCAAAUGUCAGGUUGUACAAUAUAGUGCCUUUCUUUGUAAAACUCAGAAACUGCAUUUACAACAAAGAAUGUAAUACAGCAGGAGAUCAUUGUGGAUUACAGACAAGCUUCUGAAAAUGUCAGUGGUAAAUAGCCAGCAAAUCCCUUAUUAUCAAUAUCAUGGCAUUGAUAUAGAGUAGAAAGGUAUAUAUGAUACUUGCAAAUCCAUAUCGCUGCAAACAUUUUAGGGUUUAGCAAUCCCACCAGACUCAAGCAAAACACAGUUCUAAUGCAUGUGGGAUCUUAGGCUUUAAAAAUAGCUGAUAAAUUUGUAUUACGUUCCAAAGACUCCUGAUGUGCAAAUGGACUUGGUUUUAAUUGAGUUCCAUGGAAAUGUGCCUGAAGGUCCAUCUCCUUUCUUCAUCUUUGACUAUCCCACAAAGGGAUUAUAAUCUCCCUUUUAUUGGGUCACAGAGGGAAACAGAACCUUUAUUAUUACAUUUUUAGACUAUAGCUCUCAAUAUAUAUUCCUGACAGUGUGUAUACAUGAUAAUCUGAGGUUCAUGAAGGUGACAUACAAAAAGGUACCAAAAUUUGUUCAUGAGAAAAGAGUGAACUGUUUUUUGAUUGACUUUUGGAUAUGUAUCACAAUGGAAAGUACCUCAUCUCAUAGUAUGAUUUACAGCCAAAAUAGACAGCCCUGAAAAAGUGGCUUGCUGGCCUUUCUAAAGCCAGAUUGGGGGCAUGGUGCCACAUGCCACGGCUCCAAUCCACCACGGCACCAGCUGAAAAAGGAGUGGUUGUAACCAUUCCUUUUUUUAGCCACAGAAAAACUGUCUUUAGCCCUCAAGAUGCAACACCCCCAAGAUGCUGGACGGCUGCACAAAGGGGCAUCUGUUUCACCCCAUAGUUAGUUAUUCAUUCUCAACAUAUGUUUACUGAUUCCUAUGUUACCUUUGGUGCAAACAGAAUUUGGAGGUAAAGAAAGUCACAAACCUGGGAAUUUUGAUUUUGAUUUUGAGUUGAACUAGACUAGCAUAAGUAUGGAGAACCUGUGGGUAACCACACUUUCUUUAAGGACAUGCAUUAGGAUCAGUUGUGGCACUGCCUGCUUUCAGUUUUCAGUAUCCUAGAGUUCAUUGUUUUGGAAAGCCCAACUACUAUAAAGUAAACAUAAACUUUCAGUGUGCUACUAUCCAAAGAAAACUCAACUGUUACCCUUUGUCUUAUGCUGCAUCUGUGCUGGAGAAAUAAUGCCAUGGCUCAAUGCUAUGGAAUUCUGGGAUUUGUAAUUUUGUGAACUAUUUAGCCUUCUCUGUCAGAGAGCUCUGGUGCCACAAUAAACGAUAUAUCCCAGAAUUCUAUAGGAUGGAGCCAUGGCAGUUAGAGCUCUGUCAAAUUGCAUUAUUUCUGUAGUACAGCUGCAGUCUAGAUUAUCUCACUGUUCAAGUGCAGCAAAAUAUGUAUGCCAAAUAGUUUAACAUUUCAGGUUGUGAUAAAACAUAAGAAGCCAAGUUUUAGGUAAAUUAUCUAGCUCCUGAAUGAUUCACAGUAUAUCUUGCUAUAGCUGUUGCUUUUAAAGGAGCCAGUAAGUGCCCUAUUGGCUCACACACACCCCAAAACAUGAAAGUAAAAUCUACCUCAGAAUUUUUCAUACCCAUAUCAAAGUUUCUGAUCUAGUUCUUACCAUACCAUUACUCUUAUAUUAUUUGCUCCUCUUUAGCCUGAAACUGACAGGCACCCCCCCAAAAAAAACCCAUGGUGGGGCCAUGCUGAUGUGUUUUGCGCUAGGGCCACAGCAACUGCAUGCACCUGGCUAGUUCUGCAUCACUGCUGCGAUUUUGAACCAGGCCAGCAAAAGGAGCAGUAUUUUACUGCUCCUUUUUGGCCUGUUUCUUUUCCGAUGACAAGGUUUCCCACCGUGUUUGGGACAUGCAUCAUAUAAAUGCUAAACCCCGAACAUGGCAGGAAACUGUCUCAUUUGGCCCAUCUGUUUUGGGCCUUUGUUAACAAUAAUAUAAUUGAUUCCAAAUAGGAAGAUUGGUCAGAGGUCUCCCACCAAUAAAACAUUUUCUUCCCACUCCCUAGUUCCUUAUGCUACAUGAUUGAAUCUCACCAGUUGCUUUGCUAUAGAAUAAAGCAAAAGGCUAAAUUUCAUUACCUAUGCAGUAGAUUCAUUAUCAUUAUUAUCACUAUCAUUAUCUUUAGUCUUAUUUUAAAAUUUGUCAGCUGUUUGAUGCUCCAGGGAGACAGCGCCAGCUGUGAAACCAGUAUAAUUGCCAAACUUGAGGAGUCAACAACUUUUUAGUACUGUUUUGUUUAGUUUGUAAAUGUGAAAUUUGCAGGUGCCUUCAGCAUAAACCAGCAGAGCUACCUGUCUGAAAUUAGGCUGGGCUCUAAAGGGUCUCCCAUAUUUCCUAGCGUUGUGCAGUUUAUACAUAUUAGCAAUUACAUGGUCAUAAUUUGUACACAAUUACAUUUCAAAUUCUGACUUAUUGUGCUCAAAACAAUACCUAUUUUUGUCCAACAAAUAAGACUAAAAUUAAGUAAAAUUAAAAUUAAGUAAAAUCUCAGCCUCAGAGGGAGCGAUCAGGCAGACCCAGCAACAUCAGGGACUGCCUGAAGGAAGAGGCCCCUCUCUCCUCAACUGUC